UGAUCCGAUGGUUGUGGGAGGUCUCGAUCAUGAUUUGGAUGAUUAAGAGGCUUGAUCGGGCUACAAGAUGCAUGAUCUAAUGGAAAAGAAGGCCUGCGACAUGGAUCAGACAGCAUAUUCUCUAGGGUUUGGGUUUGGGGCUUAUAAGAAGACUAAUGGCCAGAGGAAUAGAGGGUCUUAGGAGCUUCGAAAUCUCAGCAGGGUGGUGCAGAGGC
rnacentral:lncRNA from 1 species